rnacentral:misc_RNA from 1 species
UACAGAGGGUGCAAGCGUUAAUCGGAUUUACUGGGCGUAAAGGGCGCGUAGGUGGUAAAGCAAGUAGGAUGUGAAAGCCCUGGGCUUAACCUGGGAAGUGCAUCCUAAACUGCUUAACUAGAGUAUGGUAGAGGGUAGUGGAAUUUCCGGUGUAGCGGUGAAAUGCGUAGAGAUCGGAAGGAACGCCAGUGGUGAAGACGACUACCUGGACCAAUACUGACACUGAGGCGCGAGAGCGUGGGGAGCGAACAGG